AGCAGCCGCGGUAAUUCCAGCUCCAAUAGCGUAUAUUAAAGUUGUUGCAGUUAAAAAGCUCGUAGUUGAAUUUCGAGAUCAAUUUGUUGGUCGUGCCUCGGUACGUACUGGCAAUUUUGAUUUCUCCCUUCUGAAGAACCAUGAUGUCAUUAAUUUGGUGUCAUGGGGAAUCAGGACCGUUACUUUGAAAAAAUUAGAGUGUUUAAAGCAGGCUCGCGCUUGAAUACAUUAGCAUGGAAUAAUGAAAUAGGACGUUUGAUUCUAUUUUGUUGGUUUCUAGGAUCGACGUAAUGAUUAAUAGGGAUAGUUGGGGGCAUUAGUAUUCAAUUGUCAGAGGUGAAAUUCUUGGAUUUAUUGAAGACUAACUACUGCGAAAGCAUUUGCCAAGGAUGUUUUCAUUAAUCAAGAACGAAAGUUAGGGGAUCGAAGACGAUCAGAUACCGUCGUAGUCUUAACCAUAAACUAUGCCGACUAGGGAUCGGAUGAUGUUAAUUUUUAAUUGUACUCAUUCGGCGUCCG
rnacentral:rRNA from 1 species